rnacentral:rRNA from 1 species
CCUAGCCUACGGGGGGCAGCAGUGAGGAAUAUUGGUCAAUGGACGAGAGUCUGAACCAGCCAAGUAGCGUGAAGGAUGACUGCCCUAUGGGUUGUAAACUUCUUUUAUAAAGGAAUAAAGUGAGGCACGUGUGCCUUUUUGUAUGUACUUUAUGAAUAAGGAUCGGCUAACUCCGUGCCAGCAGCCGCGGUAAUACGGAGGAUCCGAGCGUUAUCCGGAUUUAUUGGGUUUAAAGGGAGCGUAGAUGUGUUGUUAAGUCAGUUGUGAAAGUUUGCGGCUCAACCGUAAAAUUGCAAUUGAUACUG